GCCAGGCACGGUGGCUCACACCUGUAAUCCCAGCAGCUCUGGAGGCUGAGACAAGAGGAUCAUGAGGUCAAAGCUAGCCUCAGCAAAAGUGAGGUGCUAAACAACUCAGUGAGAUCCUGUCUCUA
rnacentral:sRNA from 1 species